rnacentral:misc_RNA from 1 species
AAGUCGUAACAAGGUUUCCGUAGGUGAACCUGCGGAAGGAUCAUUAACGUAGUUUUGAAUUGAAAGGAGUUUUGCUCUUCGCAAUCUCUUUUUCAUUUCUUCACCACAUGUUGUGCUCUUAAAAGAUUGUCUUUGGUGGUUAAACUCAAACUUGUUUUGAGGCACCCGUUUAACUGAAUGUUUGUUUAGUUAGACCAACUCGUGUUCUUUUGGUUUGUGUUGUGGUCUUUUUAAGAUUGCGAGCAAAUCGGAAGACGACAAGUUGAUCAGAAUCGAAAGAUUUUGUUUCAACUUGGAAGAGGGGCCACCGCUUUUAUUAAACUAUUUUGUUUGUAUUUACAUUUUAUUCUGUUGAAAUAUUCAAAACAUUUUAACAAGAAACAACUUUUGACAACGGAUCUCUUGGCUCUC